GGCCCCUGCGGGCCCCCGCCCGGGCGAAGGGUGCAGCCCCCGCGCGAUUCGGUGGCCGUGGCGCGCGCGGGACUCGCCUACCCGGGAACCGCUCGGGAUUGAAUGAAGCAACGCGAUUGGAGGCCGCCCGGGAGCGGGCGGGAGACCAUUCCCCCACCCCUGAACCGUUUUCGCGGGUUGAGGCGAGUGGUUUUGCAAAUGAGGUUGGUGCAAAUGCCUGGAAACGCCCCUGGCUGCGAGAGACGAGCGCGGGGUUGCGACCGUUUAGAUUUGCCAGACAUUUGCCGUGCAAGUGGCAAAAUGCCAGAAGUGAAGAGAAAGAAAUGUUAAUAACCAAGAAAUAAAUGAUUCCCCUGUGAAAAGUUCCAAAAUCUGCAAACACUCUUAGGGCUGUCACUAAGAGAAACACUGGACUUUUUACAGGGUCUUUUCUAGAUAUUAUAAAGAGGUCAGAGGUAGGGAAGAUCCCCCUCCUCACUUGG